rnacentral:misc_RNA from 1 species
GUCGAAGUUUAGAAGGUCUAUAUAUACUGGCAGCAGCACAAUAAAUCAUUAAUUUCAUUUCACUUUUUAUGUAGUCUCCUUUCAAUAUGGAAUCAACAAGACAAUUGUAAUCGAUUUCAACUGAAUCUCCUUUGAUCAUCAAAGGCUUUGCCUGAAUAAUACAAGUAUGUAUUAUACAACUUUCAUAUGAUUGAUUUGGUUUUUUAAUUUUUUAAAAAGCCAAUACUAGAAUAUAUUUGGUCAACUAAAAUAUUAUAUAUCUUUACACCAUUAUAGAGAAGUAUCUUACCCAAUU